rnacentral:rRNA from 2 species
CUAAUACAUGCAAGUCGAACGAACUCUGGUAUUGAUUGGUGCUUGCAUCAUGAUUUACAUUUGAGUGAGUGGCGAACUGGUGAGUAACACGUGGGAAACCUGCCCAGAAGCGGGGGAUAACACCUGGAAACAGAUGCUAAUACCGCAUAACAACUUGGACCGCAUGGUCCGAGUUUGAAAGAUGGCUUCGGCUAUCACUUUUGGAUGGUCCCGCGGCGUAUUAGCUAGAUGGUGGGGUAACGGCUCACCAUGGCAAUGAUACGUAGCCGACCUGAGAGGGUAAUCGGCCACAUUGGGACUGAGACACGGCCCAAACUCCUACGGGAGGCAGCAGUAGGGAAUCUUCCACAAUGGACGAAAGUCUGAUGGAGCAACGCCGCGUGAGUGAAGAAGGGUUUCGGCUCGUAAAACUCUGUUGUUAAAGAAGAACAUAUCUGAGAGUAACUGUUCAGGUAUUGACGGUAUUUAACCAGAAAGCCACGGCUAACUACGUGCCAGCAGCCGCGGUAAUACGUAGGUGGCAAGCGUUGUCCGGAUUUAUUGGGCGUAAAGCGAGCGCAGGCGGUUUUUUAAGUCUGAUGUGAAAGCCUUCGGCUCAACCGAAGAAGUGCAUCGGAAACUGGGAAACUUGAGUGCAGAAGAGGACAGUGGAACUCCAUGUGUAGCGGUGAAAUGCGUAGAUAUAUGGAAGAACACCAGUGGCGAAGGCGGCUGUCUGGUCUGUAACUGACGCUGAGGCUCGAAAGUAUGGGUAGCAAACAGGAUUAGAUACCCUGGUAGUCCAUACCGUAAACGAUGAAUGCUAAGUGUUGGAGGGUUUCCGCCCUUCAGUGCUGCAGCUAACGCAUUAAGCAUUCCGCCUGGGGAGUACGGCCGCAAGGCUGAAACUCAAAGGAAUUGACGGGGGCCCGCACAAGCGGUGGAGCAUGUGGUUUAAUUCGAAGCUACGCGAAGAACCUUACCAGGUCUUGACAUACUAUGCAAAUCUAAGAGAUUAGACGUUCCCUUCGGGGACAUGGAUACAGGUGGUGCAUGGUUGUCGUCAGCUCGUGUCGUGAGAUGUUGGGUUAAGUCCCGCAACGAGCGCAACCCUUAUUAUCAGUUGCCAGCAUUAAGUUGGGCACUCUGGUGAGACUGCCGGUGACAAACCGGAGGAAGGUGGGGAUGACGUCAAAUCAUCAUGCCCCUUAUGACCUGGGCUACACACGUGCUACAAUGGAUGGUACAACGAGUUGCGAACUCGCGAGAGUAAGCUAAUCUCUUAAAGCCAUUCUCAGUUCGGAUUGUAGGCUGCAACUCGCCUACAUGAAGUCGGAAUCGCUAGUAAUCGCGGAUCAGCAUGCCGCGGUGAAUACGUUCCCGGGCCUUGUACACACCGCCCGUCACACCAUGAGAGUUUGUAACACCCAAAGUCGGUGGGGUAACCUUUUAGGAACCAGCCGCCUA